rnacentral:lncRNA from 1 species
GCAAAAGCGCGUGUACGCAUGCGCGUGAGAGUCGUUUGUUGGAUCAGGUUUAAAUUCCAGCGCAGCAAUGGCAGAGCUCCUCCGAAACAUCAUAUUCAGGCGAUUUUCCUUCAUCAAAGUUAUGGGCCAUUGGAAAACCACACAGCUACAAUGAAGAUGGGAAUCCUUGAAACAGUUAGCAUCAGGAGCAUGAUGAAGUUUAAGAGCCCUGUCAACUGUGCUGAAUGUCUGCUGUCCUGGAAGAGGAGAUGGUGCUCGACAAUAGGAGGCUUUAUCAAUGCAUCGUUUGUGCUUUUGGAUUAUAGUAUCUACUCAACCUGGAAUACAAUGACUAAAUAGGUUUACAUGGUAAAUAUUUGAAACAGAUGCAGCUUUAUGUGCUUGAAGUUCCUCUUGAAGAUUUUUUUUUCACUUUUCUUGAAACUUUUGUGAGUUUUUUUCUGUUCUGGAAUCAUCUGUGUCAACUGGGUAAAGUAACCCAUUGUUUAGAUUUGAUGGUGCUUUUGACGAUUUUAAUAUUCAUUUAUUAAUUUUCCUUCAGCUUAGUCCCCUGUUUAUCAGGGGGAGCCACAGCGGAAUGAACCGUUCAUUGUUUAUAUGCAAAUAUAUUAGAUGUUUAAUGUUAAUGAAUGGGUUUAACUAUUAAAAAUGUGAUUUCAUAAGUUCAGAUUAUCUUUUGUAGAAUGAAAGCAUUCAGGUGACAACACUAAACAAUGGUUAAAGUAACCUCACAAAAAUACUCACAUUUUAUGCAGUUUUUUUUUUUUUUUCCGUUUUUACAUUUUUGCAGAUAUUUGGGAUAUAUAUUAAGUACACUUCAGCUCUAUGUAUUGACCUUAUUCCUCACAUACGAGCAGGCACAGCCAUUUGAAUCUUAAUAAAAACUGUUUGUUUUGAUGCUUGAUGUUGCAAACUGAUAUUUUCUUAAUAUAUUAUUCUGCUUUGUCUGUAGAGUCAUAAACACACUAGUUUGUAGAGCAAGUAUUUUGUCUGUUUUCCGCUGUUUAAUAUUCCUAGUCAUUUCUCCCAUAGGGCACUGAAUCAGAUGUUCGAAAACAAAUCGGAAAAACUUCCGCCUUAAAGAAUGAGGUCAAUAUUAGGAGAAAUAAAAUGCUAGAAUUUAUACGGUAUACUUUGUUGAAAUGUGUAAUGUAUUUGUUAUUCUAAAGUACUUUUACAAUAGUGUCUCUUUAAUAAAAAUAAAUAAAUAAAUAAAUAAAUGUG